rnacentral:ncRNA from 1 species
UACUGUCUUGGUCCUGAACCUAACAUUAUCUCCAACCGCACUCACACAUGCAAGCAUCAACCCGCCCGUGCACACGCCCAAAACCCAUACAACGGAGCAGAUAUCAGGCACACCCAUAAGUAGCCCAAAACAUCUAGCUAUGCCACCCCCCCACGGAACUCAGCAGUGGUAAACCUUAGGCCAUGAGCCACCCAUAUAAGCUCGACCUAGUGACGGUUGCCCCAAGGCCGGCAAACCCCGUGCCAGCCGCCGCGGUUAUACGGCGGGCCUAAAAUAAUACCACCCGGCGUAAAAUGUGACUAAAGCACUAGUUUAGCCCCAGAACUAAAAACUUAAGCAAAGCCGUAAAACGCACAUGCAACAAGAAUAACACCUAUACUUCUAACACUAAACUAUCUUGACCCCACGAAAGCCAAAACACAAACUAGGAUUAGAUACCCUACUAUAUUUGGCCAUAAACCUAGGCAUUCCCCUUACAAAACUGCUCGCCAGAGAACUACAGCCAAACAAAGCUCAAACUCAAAGGACUUGACGGUGUCCCACAUCAACCUAGAGGAGCCUGUCCUAUAAUCGACAAUCCCCGUUACACCUUACUCCCCCUUGCAACCCCAGCCUAUAUACCGCCGUCGCCAGCUAACCUUGUGACAGAACCAAAGUUAGCAAAAUAGCACUCACAAACACGUCAGGUCAAGGUGUAGCCCAUGGGAGGAGUAGCGAUGGGCUACAUUUUCUACAACAGAACAAACCCACAACAACAUGAAACUUUGUCUACAGGUGGAUUUAGCAGUAAACUGAACAAGAACAUUCAAUUGAAGCCUGCUCUGGGACGCGUACACACCGCCCGUCACCCUCCUCAACUAACAACACACAAUUACAUAAACCCUACUACAUAACAAGAUGAGGCAAGUCGUAACAUGGUAAGCGUACUGGAAAGUGCGCUUGGCUAA